ensembl:lncRNA
CUGAUAUCCAAUGGCAGAACAUUCACAUGUGCAAGAAGAAAUCAAACAAAGAUAAGAGCUUGUCGCAUAAGCCUAACUGCUUCCACAACUGUUGAGAAAGAGCCAUGAUGAGGCUACACUGGCACCUCAGCUUCGCCUCAGUGUGCUUGUAUGUGUGCGGUGAUAUAUUUCAGCCGGAUCACCGCAACGAAAAGUGGAACCAUUGUGAAGGACACUUUUACAAGGGAUGGACCCAUCUUCGACUGCUUCUUAAAAAAGCAUCUGUGGACUUCUGUUGUAAAUGCCAUGAAGAGAAAUGCAUUUCCAUUGCUAUUUUUCCAACUUUAAGACAUGUGCCUGUUUUUUGGGCAUAUAAAAUAAGCCAUAAAGGGGACCCUGUUUUGUCAGAGCACAAUCUGUUGAAGAAUAUUACAACUUGGUAUAUAUCACCAUCGGUUGUUGAGGAUCUGCUCAGAGAAAAGUUGCAUUCACUCCCAUCUCAAGUGACCUCAAGACCCUCCCUAUCAACAACACAUAUUUUAAGUGGAGUGUUUCCUCUCAAUGCGAAAUACAUUCACAAAGAGGGAAACUGGCACAACUCAGGCUACAUUCACUGGAUCACAUAUCACCACACAAAUGUGAAGGGGCUUAGUUUUGAAGGAGCACUUGUCCAAAACAGUCAGGAGAAAUGUAAGUGGAAAUGGCUGAUGGUGAAGCAACUGGUUGGGAUUCUUUCUGAAGUCUUUUCGGCCAAACCCAUGCAAACCUUCUUCAAUCAUCAAAACAUGGUACCUUUAAACCUGAACAGCUUAGAUGAAAUUCCAGACAGCUUUUCUGUAAAUGAAAAGAUAGAUGACUACCUGCCAUGUGUGAUGACAACAACAAUGCAAGUCAAAGAAGCAAAACAUGACUUUUCCAAAGUGACAACAAGCAGCAAACCUCCGCUUACUUCAGAUAUGAUUGCAGGCCUGUGCUCUGUGCUCAUUCACCGUACUAGCACCGGUUUAAAGAGAUGUCUUGAGAGGAUGAUAUUAGACAAAGAAAACUACACCACCUCUUCCCCGCUCUCGUAUUUCCCUGCUAGAAACGAGCCACUUAAUGCCAGAUCAGACCUCCAAAACAGAGCCCUCUUCAACUAAGUGAAAUCAUUAAUUACAGUAAAUAUACCACAAAAAAGCCACACAACAGUGUUGAACUCAGUGCAGAGGAAAACGAUAAUUUUUACUACUUUAAUGGCAAAAUAAAAGGUACAAUGAAUCACUUUGGAAAAACUAACAUGAAACAACACAGAACAUGACUAGAUAAAAUUAGAUCGCAUAUUAGAUGCAUAAAAAGGACAGUUUUACCAAAAGAAACAUGAUGAAUUCAGAUGAAUGUCUUAAAAUAUUCUUGCUGUGUUCAAUUCUGUAUAUAUUUACAGUAUAUUAUUUCUUUGCCGAAUCGCUUAUACAAAAGCCAUUUGGUAAAUGUAUAUUAUGAUAUUUUGCCUUCUUUACAAAUCAAAGUUUUAAAUCAGUGUUUAUUGGUAUAUUUAAACAUCCUUAAAACACAAUAAAUUUACUUAAGAAGCAAAGUUGUAUAAGACUGUUUUCUUGUUCUCUUUAAAUCAUUCUUUCCUC